UUGAGUUUGUAUCGAAUAAUUGUUAUAUUUGAUAAAUAUAAUCAGCGAUUAAUCUUUAACUUUUAACAAGGAUGUUGAAAAGAAAAUCGUAUAACUUUUUGUUUUAAUAAAUAUAUAAAUAUCUUGUACGGUUGUAAAAUCAAAAAUUUUUGUUCAGAAACUGGAAUUAAAUUCACGGGAGCGACAAAUUUGAUCUAUUAUUUUGCCAAAAUUCAAGAUUACCAACAUUCAAUUCGUCACACUAAUCAUGGUGUCAACGGCCUUUCAGCCGUUUUAUUUUUAUAACAACCGUUAUUAAGGUUAGGUUAUAACUUUCUUUUCUAACCGCGUUGAAUCGCUAGGACGAUCGUUGAUCAUCGCUUAUAUUCGUCGCCCACGCUCUUUACGUGACUAUUCAUCUUUGUAACCUGUCGUUCAAUUUUCACGAUCCCAGAUUUCACUCUAUUCACGGUGAAUUAAUUUUACUUUGUAUCAUUAACGUGGAAAAGUACAGUGUAUCGACAUAACCUCUAAUACCGGAACUCGUACCAACCUCAAAACGAUGAAUUUUAGGUUUUCAUCUUUGAGAGAACAAAUACACUUUCGUUCUAUUUUUAUAUUCGUUCGAUCGUUUAUGCGUAGAAUUAUAUUUUAGACUAUAUUUAAAACUAGUAAUAUUAGCUUCCAUGCUUUCAACUUCACUUUCGCCUUUAUAAAAACAGAAGAGACAACAUGAGAAUCUAGGCAGAGAAAAUAUAGGGUGCUAAACAUAGCUACCCUUUUUUGAAUUGUCGGCACCGUACAAAACUUGACUCUGAGAUGCAGUUCCAUUUUAGAACUUGUUUCGCUUCUUACGUCUCGUUAAGACAGGUUCAAACACGCGACUCGAUGCUAGAUACGCACUUCGCGACCUCUCACGGUACGGUUUCCAUAUCGAAUUGUCUUUCGCCUCGAUGAUUACUUUCUUGACGCGAUCGCGUGCCCAACGCUCAUUCGACGAACGUGCGACAUCCGAUGCGAGUGUGUCAAUGACUGGUGAAAGGUAUCAAUGGAUUUUCCUCUACUGACCCACGACAAGGAACUUUCAAUCUCUAGUCACCUACACGACGAUUACGUGCUUCCACUUACAUAAUCGACGCAAGGCUAUGGUGGAGAAGAUCUAACUAUAAAAGGCGUCUAAUAAAUCUCGAUUAACGCGAUCACAGUGGCAAUGAAAAGUGAAAUUCCCUAUAAAUUUAUGAUAUCAUUAAAGCUGUCUCAUAAGUGAAAGUAUUUUCUUUUAAUGAAUAUUCCAUUCGAUAUUUGAUAUUUCAUUUUUGAUUUUCAAUGUAAUUUUUAUAAAAUGCCGAUAAUUCUAUUUAAAAACAUUUGUUUACACUGAUAAUGAAUUUGUAAACUGAACUCUCAAGCGAUGCAUGAUUUAUUUUUUGUAAAGUUAGGUUAACUCGAUGAGUUUAUAUUAUUGCAGAUUUCAAGACUUGAAAAUUAAACUAACUAAAACAAAA